rnacentral:rRNA from 2 species
UACGUAUGUCACGAGCGUUAUCCGGAUUUAUUGGGCGUAAAGCGCGUCUAGGUGGUUAUGUAAGUCUGAUGUGAAAAUGCAGGGCUCAACUCUGUAUUGCGUUGGAAACUGUAUAACUAGAGUACUGGAGAGGUAAGCGGAACUACAAGUGUAGAGGUGAAAUUCGUAGAUAUUUGUAGGAAUGCCGAUGGGGAAGCCAGCUUACUGGACAGAUACUGACGCUGAAGCGCGAAAGCGUGGGUAGCAAACA